rnacentral:rRNA from 1 species
UACGUAGGGUCCAAGCGUUAAUCGGAAUUACUGGGCGUAAAGCGUGCGCAGGCGGUUCGUUAAGUCAGAUGUGAAAUCCCCGGGCUCAACCUGGGAACUGCAUUUGUGACUGCAAGGCUAGAGUACGGUAGAGGGGGAUGGAAUUCCGCGUGUAGCAGUGAAAUGCGUAGAUAUGCGGAGGAACACCGAUGGCGAAGGCAAUCCCCUGGACCUGUACUGACGCUCAUGCACGAAAGCGUGGGGAGCAAACAGG